rnacentral:rRNA from 1 species
UACGUAGGUGGCAAGCGUUUGUCCGGAUUUAUUGGGUUUAAAGGGUGCGUAGGCGGUCCCAUAAGUCAGUGGUGAAAUCCUCUAGCUCAACUAGAGAUGUGCCAUUGAUACUGCGGGACUUGAGUGAAGUCGAAGUAGGCGGAAUUGACGGUGUAGCGGUGAAAUGCUUAGAUAUCGUCAAGAACACCGAUAGUGAAGACAGCUUACUAGGCUUAUACUGACGCUGAGGCACGAAAGUGUGGGGAUCAAACAGG